CCCCUCUCAGGAUCAUGCCUGAAGAGUUUCUACUACUCUACCAGUCUUGGCUAUGGGAGAGAGAGCCAAGCAGAGGCCUACCCAUUCCAUUCCUAGCUUGCACAGUGGUUAGCGAGUGGAAGGCAAUCUGCUACACGU